AGUGAACGCUGGCGGUAGGCCUAACACAUGCAAGUCGAACGGAAGCACAGUAAGAGCUUGCUCUUACGGGUGGCGAGUGGCGGACGGGCGAGGAAUACAUCGGAAUCUACUUUUUCGUGGGGGAUAACGUAGGGAAACUUACGCUAAUACCGCAUAUGACCUACGGGUGAAAGCAGGGGAUCUUCGGACCUUGCGCGAUUGAAUGAGCCGAUGUCGGAUUAGCUAGUUGGGGGGGUAAAGGCCCACCAAGGCGACGAUCCGUAGCUGGUCUGAGAGGAUGAUCAGCCACACUGGAACUGAGACACGGUCCAGACUCCUACGGGAGGCAGCAGUGGGGAAUAUUGGACAAUGGGCGCAAGCCUGAUCCAGCCAUACCGCGUGGGUGAAGAAGGCCUUCGGGUUGUAAAGCCCUUUUGUUGGGAAAGAAAAGCAGCAGGUGAAUACCCCGCUGUUCUGACGGUACCCAAGGAAUAAGCACCGGCUAACUUCGUG
rnacentral:rRNA from 1 species